rnacentral:rRNA from 1 species
CCUACGGGUGGCAGCAGUAGGGAAUAUUGCUCAAUGGGGGAAACCCUGAAGCAGCAACGCCGCGUGGAGGAUGAAGGUUUUCCGAUUGUUAACUCUUUUUGUUAGAGAAGAUAAUGACGGUAUCUAACGAAUUAGCACUGGCCAACUCCGUGCCAGCAGCCGCGGUAAUACGGAGGCUGCAAGCGUUACUCGGAAUCACUGGGCGUAAAGAGCGCGUAGGCGGGAUAGCAAGUCAGAUGUGAAAUCCUAUGGCUUAACCAUAGAACUGCAUUUGAAACUGGUAUUCUAGAGUAUGGGAGAGGUAGGCGGAAUUCUUGGUGUAGGGGUAAAAUCCGUAGAGAUCAAGAAGAAUACUCAUUGCGAAGGCGGCCUGCUAGAACAUAACUGACGCUGAUGCGCGAAAGCGUGGGGAGCAAACAGGAUUAGAUACCCGGGUAGUC